GUAACCUGCCUGUAAGAUUGGGAUAACUCCGGGAAACCGGCGCUAAUACCGGAUAACAUUUUGAACCGCAUGGUUCAAAAUUGAAAGACGGCUUUUACUGGUAAUUUUCAAAUGGACCCGCGGCGAAUUAGCUAUUUGGGGAGGUAUCGGCUCACCAAGGGAACAAUGCGUACCCAACCUGAAAGGGUGAUCGGCAACACUGGAACUGAAACCCGGCCCAAACUCCUACGGAAGGCACAAUUAGGGAAUCUUCCCCAAUGGACAAAAGUCUGACGAAACAACGCCCCGUGAACAAUGAAGGCCUUCGGGCCGUAAAGUUCGGUUGUUAGGGAAAAACAAGAACCAAAGUAACUGUUGGUACCUUGACGGUACCUAACCAAAAAGCCACGGCUAACUACGUGCCACCAGCCGCGGUAAUACGUAGGUGGCAAGCGUUGUCGGAAAUAAUUGGCCUUAAAGCGCCCGCAGGCGGUUCCUUAAUUCGGAUGGGAAAGCCCAGGGUUAAACCUUGAAGGGCCAUUGAAACUGGGGAAAUUUGGAUUGCAAAAAAGAAGAGGGAAUUUCCCCGGUGUUGGGGUGAAUUGCUUAAAAAAUGUGGAGAAAACCCCUGUGCACAAGGCAAUUCUUCUGGUCUGUAUUUUAACCCUAAGGCGCAAAGUGUUGGGGAGCGAACAGGAUUAAUACCCCCGGGGUAUCCCCCCGAUAAAAAUGAUGGCUAAGUGGAAAGAGGGUUUCCCGCCCCUUUAGUGCUGCACAAAAAUCUCAUUAUGACACUUCCUGCGUGGGG
rnacentral:rRNA from 1 species